AGGGAAUCUGCUUCUAGUACGAGAGGACCGAAGUGGACGAACCUCUGGUGUACCAGUUGUUCCAUCAGGAGCACGGCUGGGUAGCUAUGUUCGGUCCGGAUAAGCGCUGAAAGCAUAUAAGCGCGAAACCGAUCCCAAGAUUAGAUAUCUCUAACAUAAGUUAAUAAGGCUCGUUGUAGACUACGACGUUGAUAGGCUGCAGGUGUAAGUGUAGUAAUACAUUCAGCUGAGCAGUACUAAUAAGCCGAACGGCUUUACCAA
rnacentral:rRNA from 1 species